UUUCAAUCGCAGAAGAUCCAGGAGCAAAGAUGCCCCUCCAGCAGCCCUGAUAUUUUCCAAAGUUCCCCUGAGGGCUAACAGAGUUGGCCAUCUUACAGUAAAACACAUUUAUUUCAGUGUCACAACCACAAAAAAACCUCAGCAGAGGUCCCACAUGGACAGGGAGUGUUUUGCCAAGCAGGGUAUGAUUUUUCUCCUGGGUUAUAAGUGAUUGUUUUGUCAUCAUCGCUCCUGCUUCUUCUGCGGAAUAAACAAUCCCAACUGAUUUCCCUGCUCCAGAUGAUCUGUCCAAGCAAAUAAUCUUUUUUUAAAAUUUCUUUUCCCCUUGCCUAGGAGGAAGUCUUUCCUUUCCAUUAGAAGAUGGUUUCCUGGGUAUAUUGGUCAACAGUGUAUGAAAUGAGAGAAAGAGUGAGAGAAAAGCUCUUUGGUGGUAAUUUAGGAACAAUGGAGCAGAGUCUUCUGAGUUAUCACAGGAGUCAGCAGGUGUUCUGUGAAUGGAGAAUUUGAAAGCUCAAGGCCUCAGAGCUCAAACCAGAAGAAAAGCACCAGCCUCAAGCAGCCCACCCUGCAGAAAGCAGCCAACGACUGGAUCUUAAAACAACUGUGUAGGCAGAGCUGUUUAUUCCACUUUGCUUUCCACUCCAUUGUAUCAAUGCAUUUAUUUACUCUCUUGCAGCACUGUGGAUCUAUUUCAUUAUGUUGGCCAAUCUUUCUUUAUAUUAUAUUGUGGUAGUUUGGUCUAGGCCUUCCUUGGUGACC
rnacentral:lncRNA from 1 species